AACGCUAGCUACAGGCUUAACACAUGCAAGUCGAGGGGCAGCAUUGGAGUAGCAAUACUUCAGAUGGCGACCGGCGCACGGGUGAGUAUCACGUAUCCAACCUGCCGCUUACUCGGGGAUAGCCUUUCGAAAGAAAGAUUAAUACCCGAUGGUAUAAAGAGUUCGCAUGUUCUCUUUAUUAAAGAAUUUCGGUAAGCGAUGGGGAUGCGUUCCAUUAGAUAGUUGGCGGGGUAACGGCCCACCAAGUCUACGAUGGAUAGGGGUUCUGAGAGGAAGGUCCCCCACAUUGGAACUGAGACACGGUCCAAACUCCUACGGGAGGCAGCAGUGAGGAAUAUUGGUCAAUGGACGAGAGUCUGAACCAGCCAAGUAGCGUGAAGGAUGACUGCCCUAUGGGUUGUAAACUUCUUUUAUAAGGGAAUAAAGUGAGGGACGUGUCCCUUUUUGUAUGUACCUUAUGAAUAAGGAUCGGCUAACUCCGUGCCAGCAGCCGCGGUAAUACGGAGGAUCCAAGCGUUAUCCGGAUUUAUUGGGUUUAAAGGGAGCGUAGGUUGACAUAUAAGUCAGCUGUGAAAGUUUACGGCUCAACCGUGAAAUUGCAGUUGAUACUGUAUGUCUUGAGUGUACAAGAGGUGGGCGGAAUUCGUGGUGUAGCGGUGAAAUGCUUAGAUAUCACGAAGAACUCCGAUUG
rnacentral:rRNA from 1 species